GAGAACAGAAAAAGGCAGUUUGAACGUCUGUCAAGAAAGUCCCUGAAGACGAGAAGAAAGGAAGACUAAAGACCAGAGUUUCUCCCAGGUUUGGAAUGGACUGAAUGUUUCAAGCAUCAAAUCAGGAUGUUUGUUUUCAUCUGGUUAAUCGUGUCUCUUCCUACUAACAACGAUGCAUCAGGAUGGGGACGAGAACACUGUCAAACAAA